rnacentral:rRNA from 1 species
ACGGGGGGAGCAAGCGUUGUUCGGAUUUACUGGGCGUAAAGCGCGCGUAGGCGGCUUUGCAAGCCGGAUGUGAAAUCCCCGGGCUUAACCUGGGAACUGCAUUCGGGACUGCAUUGCUAGAGUAUGGGAGAGGGAAGUGGAAUUCCGCGUGUAGCAGUGAAAUGCGUAGAUAUGCGGAGGAACACCGAUGGCGAAGGCAAUCCCCUGGGCCUGCACUGACGCUCAUGCACGAAAGCGUGGGGAGCAAACAGGA